rnacentral:misc_RNA from 1 species
GAUGAAGAACUCAGCGAAAUGCGAUACGUAAUGUGAAUUGCAGAAUUCAGUGAAUCAUCGAGUCUUUGAACGCACAUUGCGCCCCCUGGUAUUCCGGGGGGCAUGCCUGUCCGAGCGUCAUUGCUGCCCUCAAGCACGGCUUGUGUGUUGGGCCUCCGUCCUCCUCCCGGUGGACGGGCCCGAAAGGCAGCGGCGGCACCGCGUCCGGUCCUCGAGCGUAUGGGGCUUCGUCACCCGCUCUUGUAGGCCCGGCCGGCGCUUGCCGACACAUCAAUCUUUUUUCCAGGUUGACCUCGGAUCAGGUAGGGAUACCCGCUGAACUUAAGCAUAUCAAUAAGCGGAGGA